CCUACGGGAGGCAGCAGUGAGGAAUAUUGGUCAAUGGACGCAAGUCUGAACCAGCCAUGCCGCGUGCAGGAAGACGGCUCUAUGAGUUGUAAACUGCUUUUGUACGAGGGUAAACGCAGAUACGUGUAUCUUUCUGAAAGUAUCGUACGAAUAAGGAUCGGCUAACUCCGUGCCAGCAGCCGCGGUAAUACGGAGGAUUCAAGCGUUAUCCGGAUUUAUUGGGUUUAACGGGUGCGUAGGCGGUCUGUUAAGUUAGAGGUGAAAUCCCGAGGCUCAACUUCGGAAUUGCAAUUGAUACUGGUCGGCUAGAGUAUAGUUGAGGUAGGCGGAAUGCGUGGUGUAGCGGUGAAAUGCUUAGAGAUCAUGAAGAACACCGAUUGCGAAGGCAGCUUACCAAGCUACUACUGACGUUGAGGCACGAAAGCGUGGGGAGCAAACAGGAUUAGAUACCCCAGUAGUC
rnacentral:rRNA from 1 species